AUUACCGACGGGCCCCUGCCUGUCAUCUCCGGCGACCGUUUCAACCCCCAUGUCGUAGUAUAGAACACACAGUCGUCGUGUCAAAGCGAAACAGCUGGUAAAUCGCGCGCCCUUUUAAUAUUAUAUAACGUGGCGGCGUUGACGGAAGAGUUUGCAUGCAAACGUCAAGUGGUCGAUGACCUCGCCGCGAAGGUGCCUGGUCGCGUGACAUGUCCCCGAAGCGAAAAGGACUCGACCAGCGGUGAAUAAACGAGAGAAAGAUAAAAGCGUGGAAUGGCGCGUUGUUCGAAUCAGGUACUGGCGGCGGUGCGCGGAGCUGAGCUGUUUGUGUUGCCUUGCCGCUUAUCGCGAUGCGAAACAGGAUCGCUGGGCGGUACACGUGGCCUGUCGUGUUGGCUCCGCGUGGAACCGCGAGGGCGCAGUUGCGAGAGUAGUGGUCGCGCAACUAUCGCCUACACGCGCUCACAUCCAUUCGGGCGGCCGACGUGUGUAGACAGCAUGGUUCUGUACGCGGUCCUGAUUUUCGUGCCCGUUGCCACGAUCGGCUUCUUCACGUACAAGCUCAUCCAGAGCUUGCGUGACAAAGAGAAGAGGAAAGAGGACAAGAAGAAGCAGAAGCAGCAAAAGAAGAAGGCCAAGUGAGAGGACAAGGACGCUUGCCCGACUUUCACACGCUGCCCCCCGUGCAAAGCAGGGCCUAACAUAUCACCACUCACGGAUGGGGGGUAGGGGCGAACGGCAAUCUUCCAAAACGUCCUCUCUACCACCGCCGCGUCGACGAUGCUUCGAAACGGCGGCAGGGUCCCUCUCGGAGUUGACUCUCGACAAUCCGGGCACCACCAAAGCCAUUCUCUGUUGUUUCCUCGUGUACAUUCCAUUGGAUGAAGGCUCUUUCUUCCUCACU